rnacentral:lncRNA from 1 species
AAACGCAGUAGACCCAGCAGGUCGGGCACGGAAACGUAUAGCUACACUUCCGGUUGCAGUUUUUUUUUGCAGUGACUGACACAGCUGGAGUGGGGGGAGGCCUGGCUCAAGUGAAAGCGAGCUACUGGGGGAAAUGGGCGACGUUUGAUUGGGAAAAGAGUUUCACAGCCUGCCUAGCCUAUAUGCCUGUGCUGGAAAUCAACAAAGGCAGCCUACAAAC